UACAGAGGUCUCAAGCGUUGUUCGGAUUCAUUGGGCGUAAAGGGUGUGUAGGUGGCGCCGUAAGUCGGGUGUGAAAUUUCGGAGCUUAACUCCGAAACUGCAUUCGAUACUGCGGUGCUUGAGGACUGGAGAGGAGACUGGAAUUCAUGGUGUAGCAGUGAAAUGCGUAGAGAUCAUGAGGAAGACCAGUGGCGAAGGCGGGUCUCUGGACAGUUCCUGACACUGAGACACGAAGGCCCAGGGGAGCAAAACGGGG
rnacentral:rRNA from 1 species